UACGUAGGGGGCAAGCGUUGUCCGGAUUUAUUGGGCGUAAAGAGCGUGUAGGCGGCCAUGUAGGUCCGUUGUGAAAACUCGAGGCUCAACCUCGAGACGCCGAUGGAAACCAUGUGGCUAGAGUCCGGAAGAGGAGAGUGGAAUUCCUGGUGUAGCGGUGAAAUGCGCAGAUAUCAGGAGGAACACCGGUGGCGAAGGCGGGUCUCUGGGCCGAUACUGACGCUGGAGGAGCGAAAGCGUGGGGAGCGAACAGGG
rnacentral:rRNA from 1 species